AGCCAUGCGAGUAGAAGAAUUAGAUUCUUUGCGAACUGCUCAGUAACACGUGGAUAACCUGCCCUAUGCUCUGGGAUAACCUCGGGAAACUGAGAAUAAUACCGGAUAGAUCACAACGCCUGGAACGGUGUGUGGUUGAAAGAUUACGGCAUAGGAUGGGUCUGCGGCGUAUCAGGUUGUAGGGGGUGUAACGGACCUCCUAGCCAUCGACGCGUACGGGUGUUGGGAGACAUAGCCCGGAGAUGGAUUCUGAGACACGAAUCCAGACCCUACGGGGUGCAGCAGGCGCGAAAACUUCACACUGCAGGAAACUGUGAUGAGGGACUCCAAGUGCGCGCACUUAGUGUGCGCUUUUGUUGACUUAUUAAUCGGGUCAAUGAAUAAGGGCUGGGGAAAGGACCGGUUGCCAGCCGCCGCCGUAAAUCCCGGCAGCUCAAGGUGGUGUUCCCUUUUAUUGGGGCUAAAACCGUCCGUAGCUGUGUUGUAAUCUGUUGGGUUAUCAACCAGCUUAACUGUUGAUUCUGCAAACUGCCGAAUGGACGGAAGGUGUGGU
rnacentral:rRNA from 1 species